rnacentral:rRNA from 1 species
GGCGACGGGUGAGUAACACGUAUGAAACCUGCCCGUAGCAGGGGGAUAAGCGGAAGAAAUUCCGUCUAAUACCGCGUAACAACCCAUGGAGGCAUCUCUGUGGGUUUAAAGGAAGCGAUUCCGGCUACGGAUGGUCAUGCGUCGCAUUAGCUUGUUGGCGGGGUAACGGCCCACCAAGGCGACGAUGCGUAGGGGUUCUGAGAGGAAGGUCCCCCACACUGGUACUGAGACACGGGCCAGACUCCUACGGAAGGCAGCAG